GUUGGGUAGGGGAGCGUUCUGUAAGCCUGUGAAGGUGGCCUGUGAGGGUUGCUGGAGGUAUCAGAAGUGCGAAUGCUGACAUAAGUAACGAUAAAGCGGGUGAAAAGCCCGCUCGCCGGAAGACCAAGGGUUCCUGUCCAACGUUAAUCGGGGCAGGGUGAGUCGACCCCUAAGGCGAGGCCGAAAGGCGUAGUCGAUGGGAAACGGGUUAAUAUUCCCGUACUUGGUGUUACUGCGAAGGGGGGACGGAGAAGGCUAUGUUGGCCGGGCGACGGUUGUCCCGGUUUAAGCGUGUAGGUGUGUGUUCCAGGUAAAUCCGGUU
rnacentral:rRNA from 1 species